rnacentral:rRNA from 1 species
UACGUAGGGGGCAAGCGUUGUCCGGAUUUAUUGGGCGUAAAGAGCGUGUAGGCGGCCAUGUAGGUCCGUUGUGAAAACUCGAGGCUCAACCUCGAGACGCCGACGGAAACCAUGUGGCUAGAGUCCGGAAGAGGAGAGUGGAAUUCCUGGUGUAGCGGUGAAAUGCGCAGAUAUCAGGAAGAACACCCGUGGCUAAGGCGGCUCUCUAGUACGGUACUGACGCUGAGACGCGAAAGCGUGGGGAGCAAACAGG